AUUGAACGCUGGCGGCAGGCCUAACACAUGCAAGUCGGGCGAGCGGCGGAGGGGUGAGAAAUCUCUGGGAAACUGCGUGAUGGAGGGGGAUAACAACUGGAAACGGUAGCUAAUACCGCAUACCAUCAGAUGUGCCCAGAUGGGAUUAGCUAGUAGGUUGGGUAACGGCUCACAUAGGCGACGAUCCCUAGCUGGUCUGAGAGGAUGACCAGCACAACGGGAAAUGAGACACGGGCCAGACUCCUACGGGAGGCAGCAUUGGGGAAUAUUGCACAAUGUGCGCAAGCCUGAUGCAGCCAUGCCGCGUGUGUGAAGAAGUCCUUCGGGUUGUAAAGCACUUUCAGUGGGGAGGCGUUACCCGCAGAAGAAGCACCGGCUAACUCCGUGCCAGCAGCCGCGGUAAUAC
rnacentral:rRNA from 1 species